rnacentral:rRNA from 1 species
UACGAAGGGGCUAGCGUUGCUCGGAAUCACUGGGCGUAAAGGGUGCGUAGGCGGGUCUUAAGUCAGGGGUGAAAUCCUGGAGCUCAACUCCAAGAACUGCCUUUGAUACUGAGGAUCUUGAGUACGGGAGAGGUGAGUGGAACUGCGAGUGUAGAGGUGAAAUUCGUAGAUAUUCGCAAGAACACCAGUGGCGAAGGCGGCUCACUGGCCCGUAACUGACGCUGGAGGCACGAAAGCGUGGGGAGCAAAC